rnacentral:tRNA from 13 species
UUCCGACACCGGGAAUCGAACCCGGGCCUCCUGGGUGAGAGCCAGGUAUCCUAACCACUAGACCAUGCCGGA